UACCAGUGAAACAGGUCCUUUUAUAUUACGCAAUAGUUACAAAUAUUAAUUCGUUUAAUGUUAAUGUAUUGCCUUCAUUUUAGUUUUAUAUUAUUUAUUAUGACACGCAACAAAUUAUUUACGAGUGUACACACCCAGUGUCCACAAUCUCAGCUAUCUCCGGCUUAGUGCGUGUACACAAUAUCUCAACGAGGACCUCUUCAUCCGUCCCCAUGCCCUCCAUGCAGUGGUUCAGCUCCCGACAGAGGUACUCCGCGGGAGGCAUCAUUAGUGCUAUUAUAACAUCUUCAAAGUGACCACCCAGUUCUGACUUUAAAUCUUCAAUAAUGUCCUGGUGAAUUUUAUUAAGUUUUAUAUAUGUAAAAUAUUUUUUAUUUACUUAUAAUAAUUGUUUUUUUUUCUUUAAUAUAGUGGUAUACAAACUUGAUUUCUUUAAGAAGUAAUACUUCUAUAUUUCUUUUAAGAGUAAUCUUAACGCAAAUAAUUAUUUCAAGAAAAAAUUUUACUAUAAAACCAUUUAAGUUAUUAUUUUAGAAAUGCAUGUAAAAACACAUGUAAUUAUUUUACGAAAAAAAUAUAAUAGUAUAAAAAU